rnacentral:rRNA from 1 species
UAGGGAAUCUUCCGCAAUGGGCGAAAGCUUGACGGAGCAACGCCGCGUGAGUGAUGAAGGUUUUCGGAUCGUAAAACUCUGUUAUUAGGGAAGAACAAAUGUGUAAGUAACUAUGCACGUCUUGACGGUACCUAAUCAGAAAGCCACGGCUAACUACGUGCCAGCAGCCGCGGUAAUACGUAGGUGGCAAGCGUUAUCCGGAAUUAUUGGGCGUAAAGCGGGCGUAGGCGGUUUUUUAAGUCUGAUGUGAAAGCCCACGGCUCAACCGUGGAGGGUCAUUGGAAACUGGAAAACUUGAGUGCAGAAGAGGAAAGUGGAAUUCCAUGUGUAGCGGUGAAAUGCGCAGAGAUAUGGAGGAACACCAGUGGCGAAGGCGACUUUCUGGUCUGUAACUGACGCUGAUGUGCGAAAGCGUGGGGAUCAAACGGG